GCGCGAAAACUUUACAAUGCUGGCAACAGCGAUGAGGGAACCUCGAGUGCCAGGUUACAAAUCUGGCUGUCGAGAUGCCUAAAAAGCAUUUCAUAGCAAGGGCCGGGCAAGACCGGUGCCAGCCGCCGCGGUAACACCGGCGGCUCGAGUGGUAACCGUUAUUAUUGGGUCUAAAGGGUCUGUAGCCGGCCGGAUAAGUCUCUUGAGAAAUCUGGCAGCUUAACUGUCAGGCUUUCAGGAGAUACUGUCUGGCUCGAGGCCGGGAGAGGUGAGAGGUACUUCAGGGGUAGGGGUGAAAUCUUGUAAUCCUUGAAGGACCACCAGCGGCGAAGGCGUCUCACCAGAACGGACCUGACGGCAAGGGACGAAAGCUAGGGGCACGAACCG
rnacentral:rRNA from 1 species